rnacentral:rRNA from 1 species
AGAGUUUGAUCCUGGCUCAGGACGAACGCUGGCGGCGUGCCUAACACAUGCAAGUCGAACGGAGUUGAAAGGAGCUUGCUUUUUUCAACUCAGUGGCGGACGGGUGAGUAACGCGUGAGUAACCUGCCUUUCAGAGGGGGAUAACGUUCUGAAAAGAACGCUAAUACCGCAUAAGAUUGUAGCUUCGCAUGGAGCAGCAAUCAAAGGAGCAAUCCGCUGAAAGAUGGACUCGCGUCCGAUUAGAUAGUUGGCGGGGUAACGGCCCACCAAGUCGACGAUCGGUAGCCGGACUGAGAGGUUGAUCGGCCACAUUGGGACUGAGACACGGCCCAGACUCCUACGGGAGGCAGCAGUGAGGGAUAUUGGGCAAUGGGGGAAACCCUGACCCAGCAACGCCGCGUGAGGGAUGACGGUUUUCGGAUUGUAAACCUCUGUCCUCUGUGAAGAUAGUGACGGUAGCAGAGGAGGAAGCUCCGGCUAACUACGUGCCAGCAGCCGCGGUAAUACGUAGGGAGCAAGCGUUGUCCGGAUUUACUGGGUGUAAAGGGUGCGUAGGCGGAUUGGCAAGUCAGAAGUGAAAUCCAUGGGCUUAACCCAUGAACUGCUUUUGAAACUGUUAGUCUUGAGUGAAGUAGAGGUAGGCGGAAUUCCCGGUGUAGCGGUGAAAUGCGUAGAGAUCGGGAGGAACACCAGUGGCGAAGGCGGCCUACUGGGCUUUAACUGACGCUGAGGCACGAAAGUGUGGGUAGCAAACAGGAUUAGAUACCCUGGUAGUCCACACUGUAAACG